AGAGUUUGAUCCUGGCUCAUGACGAACGCUGGCGGCGUGCUUAAUACAUGCAAGUCGAACGAGAAAGGUCCUUUCGGGGACUGAGUAGAGUGGCGAACGGGUGAGUAACGCGUAGAUAAUCUACCCUUGAGUUUGAGAUAACUUCUGGAAACGGGAGCUAAUACCGAAUGACGCAGUAAACUUGGCGUUUAUUGUUAAAGGCUUCGGCCGCUUGGGGAUGAGUCUGCGUUCUAUCAGCUUGUUGGUGGGGUAAUGGCCUACCAAGGCUAAGACGGAUAGCUGGUCUGAGAGGAUGAUCAGCCACACUGGCACUGAGACACGGGCCAGACUCCUACGGGAGGCAGCAGUAGGGAAUAUUGCACAAUGGGCGAAAGCCUGAUGCAGCGACGCCGCGUGAGUGAUGACGGUCCUAUGGAUUGUAAAGCUCUGUAAGGAGGGAAGAAAUUUGACGGUACCUCCAAAGUAAGCACCGGCUAAAUAUGUGCCAGCAGCCGCGGUAAUACAUAUGGUGCGAGCGUUGUCCGGAAUGACUGGGCGUAAAGGGUGCGUAGGCGGCUAUAUAUGUCAGGUGUGAAAUCCCCGGGCUUAACCUGGGAACUGCGCUUGAAACUGUAUAGCUUGAGGAUGUGAGAGGUAAGUGGAAUUCCCGGAGUAGCGGUGAAAUGCGUAGAGAUCGGGAAGAACACCAGUGGCGAAGGCGACUUACUGGCACAUAACUGACGCUGAGGCACGAAAGCGUGGGGAGCGAACGGGAUUAGAUACCCCGGUAGUCCACGCCGUAAACGAUGUAUACUAGAUGCCUGUAUCAUUUAUGAUGUGGGUGUCGCAGCUAACGCAUUAAGUAUACCGCCUGGGGAGUACGGUCGCAAGAUUAAAACUCAAAGGAAUUGACGGGGGCCCGCACAAGCGGUGGAGCAUGUGGUUUAAUUCGAUGCAACGCGAAGAACCUUACCCGGUCUUGACAUCCUUCGGACAGAACCUAGAGAUAGGAUCUUCUUCUUCGGAAGCCGGAGUGACAGGUGCUGCAUGGCUGUCGUCAGCUCGUGUUGUGAGAUGUUGGGUUAAGUCCGCAACGAGCGCAACCCUUGCCUUUAGUUGCCAUCAUUUAGUUGGGCACUCUAGAGGGACUGCCGAGGUUAACUCGGAGGAAGGCGGGGAUGACGUCAAGUCCUCAUGGCCCUUAUGACCGGGGCUACACACGUGCUACAAUGGCAUAGACAAAGUGAAGCUAAACAGCAAUGUCAUGCAAAUCACAAAAACUAUGUCCUAGUUCGGAUUGGAGUCUGCAACUCGACUCCAUGAAGCUGGAAUCGCUAGUAAUCGUGGAUCAGCAUGCCACGGUGAAUACGUUCCCGGGCCUUGUACACACCGCCCGUCACACCAUGGGAGUUGUUCUCACUGGAAAACAUUGGGCUAGCCUUCGGGAGGCAGGUGUUAAUGGUGAGGAUAAUGACUGGGGUGAAGUCGGAACAAGGUA
rnacentral:rRNA from 1 species